UACGGAGGGUGCAAGCGUUAUCCGGAUUUACUGGGCUUAAAGCGUGUGUAGGCGGACUUCUAAGUACCUUGUGAAAUCCCACGGCUCACCCGUGGAACUGCUCGGUAUACUGGUCGUCUUGAGCCUUCUAGGGGCGAGUGGAACAAAUGGUGGAGCGGUGAAAUGCGUAGAUAUCAUUUGGAACGCCAAUGGUGAAAACAACUCGCUGGGGAAGUGCUGACGCUGAGACACGAAAGCCAGGGGAGCGAACGGG
rnacentral:rRNA from 1 species